AAAGUUGACCGUGCAAAGGUAGCAUAAUCAAUUGUUUUUUAAUUGAAGGCUUGAAUGAAUGGUUGUAUGAGAUAUAAACUAUUUUUAUUUUAAUAAAAUGAAUUUAAAAUUUUAGUAAAAAUGCUAAAAUUAAAAUAUUAGACGAGAAGACCCUAUAGAUCUUUAUUUAAAUUUUUAUUUAAAAAUAUUGAAUAAUUUAUUUUAAUUUAAAAUUUAAAUUUUAUUGGGGCGAUAAUGAAAUUUUAAAAACUUUUAUUUAAAAUAAUAAAAAUAAUUAAUUUUUUGAUCCAUUAAUAAUGAUUAAAAGUUUAAGUUACCUUAGGGAUAACAGCAUAAUUAUUUUAAAAAGUUCUUAUUAAUAAAAUAGAUUAUGACCUCGAUGGAGCACGUGAGAUGAGUGUAUCAAUAGGAGCGCACCCAG
rnacentral:rRNA from 1 species